AUUCCGUAGUGAGGGCAUCAAUAAAGUAACUCCUUGAAUCUUUCCCAUGCCUCGUAUAGAGACUCAUCAUCCAUCUACUAAAAAGUGGUGAUCUCAUUCUGCAACU
rfam:Gossypium hirsutum cultivar TM-1 chromosome 24, whole genome shotgun sequence